CAAUCCUCUACUCGCGGUAUAGCGAGAAGGGGCUGAAUUUACUAAUACUAAGUAAUCUUUACUUAGUAAUAGUAAAUUUGGCUGAGAGACCAAUUUAGGUCUUUCAGCCUUUUAGUAGAUAGCUCCCUAAUACCGUGGGAAUUAGGGAGUUAUCUACUUAUUCAUUCCUGUCAUUACAUGACUGGCUAAGUAACUUACAUUAAAUAUGAAUGUAUGUUACUUGAUUGUUGUAAGUGUUGCAAAUGCUUACAGCUGAAUCCUGGCUAUGUUGUAUACUUUUUAUUUAAAAUUGUAUACAGUGUAACAUUCUUCUUCUUUCACUGGGUAAGUAUAUUAGUACUUAGGCAAUACUGUGCUUCGGAACAUCGGCACUUCAGCAAUUCGGCACUUCGGCACUACUACACUUCGGAAAUUAUUAUUUAUUUAUUAUAGCCACUCUUAUAUAUCUUCACAGAUCCAUAGGUAUACCCCUUCUCGGUGUCUCCACUCUGCCCAUGCACUCACGCUUGCAGGACUUCUCGCUGGCGGCUCCCUUCCUAUGGAAUAGCCUGCCUACCGUCAUGAAACUCUCCCCUAGUCUUAAAUCGUUUAAGAAGUGCCUUAAAACCCAUCUCUUUAGGAAAGCUUUUGGCCUCCCAGAGAAACCUCUACCUUACAUACCUGUCUCUUGCUCCCUCCUAAAGGGCAGCACUCUACUCUCUCCUCCAGCUCUGCUUCACUCCCACCUUGAUUGCUGUUUCCUGUCCUAUUGUGUUUUACACCCCACCUCCUAUAGACUGUAAGCUCGUUUAAGCAGGGUCCUCUUAAACCUAUCUGUAAGUUUUCUUGUAAUUGUCCUAUUUAUAGUUAAAUCCCCCCUCUCAUAAUAUUGUAAAGCACUACUGAAUCUGUUGGUGCUAUAUAAAUAGUGAUAAUAUUAAUAAUAUUAACCAAAAAUACUAAUACGCAGACUGACUUACGGUUUGUUCAGGUUUAUUCUUGGGGUUACGGAUACAUAAUAAAAC